rnacentral:rRNA from 1 species
GCUUAGGGAGGGUGGAACACCCACCCAGAGCCGGAAAGUUGUCCAAACUUGGUCAUUUAGAGGAAGUAAAAGUCGUAACAAGGUUUCCUUCCCAGCGAACCACGGAAGCCUUUGCACCCCGCAAGGGGGAAGUGCCGCGACUAUAAAGAAAGCAUUGUCAGCAGGUAGCCUUUGAGGCUGCAACACGAUCGAAUUGCGGGAACGUCCUAAAGCUCCAUGGUACCAACUCGAUGAGGGAAACCUUUCGAGGGCCUGCGUUAACAACGCGGGGUAAGGUUAUAACCUGUGGAGAUUUUGCAAUGGACCAUUCGCAGCGAAGCCCCUACUGGCGGAAAGCCUAUGGGGAUCGUUCACAGACUAAGUGGUCGUGGGUUACGGGCCGUUAAGCCUGUGCCUAAGAUAUAGUCGGGCUGUCGAGGAGACUCGAUAGGGUGUUUCGCACCAAACCGUUCCGUAGGUGAACCUGCGGAAGGAUCAUUACAGAGUUCAUGCCCUCACGGGUAGACCUCCCACCCUUGUGUAUCUAUACAUUGUUGCUUUGGCGAGCUGCCUUGGCCUUAACUGCCCCAAGGCCUCAAGCUUUCGAGCCUGAGAGUCGCCCGCCGGAGGAAAAAUAAACCCUGAUAAUUAAUGUCGUCUGAGUACUAUAUAAUAGUUAAAACUUUCAACAACGGAUCUCUUGGUUCUGGCAUCGAUGAAGAACGCAGCGAAAUGCGAUAAGUAAUGUGAAUUGCAGAAUUCAGUGAAUCAUCGAAUCUUUGAACGCACAUUGCGCCCCUUGGCAUUCCGGGGGGCAUGCCUGUUCGAGCGUCAUUUCAACCCUCAAGCUCAGCUUGGUAUUGGGCCUCGUCGGUUACACGACGGGCCUUAAAGUCAGUGGCGGCGCCGUUGGGUCCUGAACGUAGUAAUAUAUUUCGUUACAGGUGCCCCGCGUGCUUCUGCCAUUAAACCCCCAAUCUUUUAUGGUUGACCUCGGAUCAGGUAGGGAUACCCGCUGAACUUAAGCAUAUCAAUAAGCGGAGGAAAAGAAACCAACAGGGAUUGCCUCAGUAACGGCGAGUGAAGCGGCAUAAGCUCAAAUUUGAAAUCUGGCUCUUUCAGGGUCCGAGUUGUAAUUUGUAGAAGAUGUUUCGGGUGUGGCACCGGUCUAAGUUCCUUGGAACAGGACGUCAUAGAGGGUGAGAAUCCCGUACGUGACUGGCUGCCUACGCCCAUGUGAAACUCUUUCGACGAGUCGAGUUGUUUGGGAAUGCAGCUCAAAAUGGGUGGUAUAUUUCAUCUAAAGCUAAAUAUUGGCCAGAGACCGAUAGCGCACAAGUAGAGUGAUCGAAAGAUGAAAAGCACUUUGGAAAGAGAGUUAAACAGUACGUGAAAUUGUUGAAAGGGAAGCGCUUGCAAUCAGACUUGCGCCUAGUUGAUCAUCCAAGCUUUUGGUUGGUGCACUCGACUAGGCUCAGGCCAGCAUCGGUUUGGGCGGUUGGAUAAAGACUUGGGGAACGUAGCCUCCUUCGGGUGGUGUUAUAGCCCCAGGUGCAAUGCAGCCUGCCUGGACCGAGGACCGCGCUUCGGCUAGGAUGCUGGCGUAAUGGUUGUAAGCGACCCGUCUUGAAACACGGACCAAGGAGUCGACCUAUUUAGCGAGUGUUUGGGUGUUAAACCCAUACGCGUAAUGAAAGUGAACGGAGGUGAGAACCCGUUAGGGCGCAUCAUCGACCGAUCCUGAUGUCUUCGGAUGGAUUUGAGUAAGAGCUAAGUGGGUCGGACCCGAAAGAUGGUGAUCUAUACGUGAAUAGGGUGAAGCCAGAGGAAACUCUGGUGGAGGCUCGCAGCGGUUCUGACGUGCAAAUCGAUCGUCAAAUUUGCGUAUAGGGGCGAAAGACUAAUCGAACCAUUAAACCUUACUAGGUGGUUGAGAGAGGAUCGUUUGAGAGAUCCUUUAGUUCCCACUCGGGGCAACAUCGUCAAAUUGUUCGGGGACCACCUGUGAAUUUGCAAGCUACCGCAGCCAGCUCGAAAGGGUUGGUGAGCACCUGAGAUAGCGACUUAGGGUAUGGUAAUAACGCUUGCAUGGGGUGUAUCCGCAGCGAAUCCCUAAGCCUUUUUAGGUAUGGGUGUCGUUCACAGACUAGACGGCGGUGGACGUGGUAUCGGAAGGUAUAGGCUUAAUAACCCUAUAUUCUUACAUGUCACGCUUAAGAUAUAGUCGAACCCCCCAGAGAUGGGGUGA